UACGUAGGGGGCAAGCGUUGUCCGGAUUUAUUGGGCGUAAAGAGCGUGUAGGCGGCCAGGUAGGUCCGUUGUGAAAACUCGAGGCUCAACCUCGAGACGUCGGCGGAAACCCUCUGGCUAGAGUCCGGAAGAGGAGAGUGGAAUUCCCGGUGUAGCGGUGAAAUGCGCAGAUAUCGGGAAGAACACCCGUGGCGAAGGCGGUUCUCUGGGACGGUACUGACGCUGAGACGCGAAAGCGUGGGGAGCGAACAGG
rnacentral:rRNA from 1 species